GCGCGGUUAGCUCAGCGGUAGAGCACCUGCUUCACACGCAGGGGGUCGCAGGUUCGAACCCUGCACCGCGCACCA
rnacentral:tRNA from 1 species